CAAUGUCUUUCUCGUAUUUAUUAGUUUAUUUUAAAAUGUUGUCGUUCUAAAAAAAAGAAAUGUUAUAAUACUCUCUGUUUUGCUUAUAUAAGGAGAGGUUGUAAUGUCCAUACAGAAGCCAGAUCAAGCUCCAUGAGAUAGGGAAAACGAAGCUCUCCUUAUUCAAUAAUCAAUAAGUCAGCCGAUCGAUCUUUAGAGAGAUUGGUCGUCCAUUGUAUGGCGGCUUGACCGCCGUUCAUCUGGCUUGACGGUUCGACUCACUCUGAGCCAUGGUAAAAGUAAUCUCAGGCUUAAACCAUUAGGAGAAGGAGAAGAUAUUUUAGACGUGGGUGGGAUUUUAGGGAUAAAGAUGGAAUAUUGAUAAAUUACGUACAUGGUCGGAUUAUAAUAUAAUUAAACCGGAUUAAAGUUUUGAUCAGUGGAUUGCUCUGAAGUCUCAACUAAGUGGGGGCUGGUAUUCCAAUCUUGUAUCAAUUAGUAUAAUAAAGCAUAAGCAUCAACGUAUUAGAAUAUUCUCCAAUCUAUGUUUUGUCCAUCCUGCAUUAGUCGUAAUGCGGAGUUACUUCUCUAAAUGUGUGUCAAAAGGCAAGUCAUUUUUUCUGGCUAUCAUGUAUUGCAGUAUUGGUUAGUUUUCCACUAGUUGUAUC